rnacentral:rRNA from 1 species
UACAGAGGGUGCAAGCGUUGCUCGGAUUUACUGGGCGUAAAGCGUGCGCAGGCGGUUAUGCAAGACAGAUGUGAAAUCCCCGGGCUCAACCUGGGAACUGCAUUUGUGACUGCAUGGCUAGAGUACGGUAGAGGGGGAUGGAAUUCCGCGUGUAGCAGUGAAAUGCGUAGAUAUGCGGAGGAACACCGAUGGCGAAGGCAAUCCCCUGGACCUGUACUGACCCUCAUGCACGAAAGCGUGGGGAGCAAACAGG